AUGCAGCCAUGCCGCGUGUGUGAAGAAGGCCUUCGGGUUGUAAAGCACUUUCAGCGAGGAGGAAAGGUUACUGGCUAAUAUCCAGUAGCUGUGACGUUACUCGCAGAAGAAGCACCGGCUAACUCCGUGCCAGCAGCCGCGGUAAUACGGAGGGUGCGAGCGUUAAUCGGAAUUACUGGGCGUAAAGCGUGCGCAGGCGGUUUGUUAAGCGAGAUGUGAAAGCCCCGGGCUCAACCUGGGAACUGCAUUUUGAACUGGCAAACUAGAGUCUUGUAGAGGGGGGUAGAAUUCCAGGUGUAGCGGUGAAAUGCGUAGAGAUCUGGAGGAAUACCGGUGGCGAAGGCGGCCCCCUGGACAAAGACUGACGCUCAUGCACGAAAGCGUGGGGAGCAAACAGGAUUAGAUACCCUGGUAGUCCACGCCGUAAACGAUGUCUACUCGGAGUUUGGUGUCUUGAACACUGGGCUCUCAAGCUAACGCAUUAAGUAGACCGCC
rnacentral:rRNA from 1 species